GUUCUCUUCCGAUCUUAUCGUUAGGCCUAGGUGUAGGAGUGUAGGACCUAGGUGUAGGUAGCCUACCUACCCCGCCCUUUAUUUGGAACGUGUUCGUUUCCAUGUUAUUUAUUAACUAUUUGGGCCGUGGCACGCAUAGCGGUACAGCACUGUUAAUCGUGUCUCUAUGAGUGGCCGCGUAGCCCGGUAGCUCAGCCAAAACUUACUAUUCCGUUCAUAAGUGCAAAUUUCCUCCCCCUCGCCAGCUCAGAAAAAGAAAGAAAAAAAAAAAAAAAUACACCCAACUUGAACAAAAA